UUUAAUUGAAGAGUUUGAUCAUGGCUCAGAUUGAACGCUGGCGGCAGGCCUAACACAUGCAAGUCGAGCGGCAGCGACAUGAUAGAAGCUUCGGUGGAAAUCAUGGGCGGCGAGCGGCGGACGGGUGAGUAAUGCCUGGGAAUAUG
rnacentral:rRNA from 1 species